GGGUGCGAUCAUACCAGCACUAAUGCACUGGAUCCUAUCAGAACUCCGAAGUUAAGUGUGCUUGGGCGAGAGUAGUGCUAGGAUGGGUGAUCUCCCAGCAAGUCCCUGUGUUGCACCCU
rnacentral:rRNA from 1 species